CCUACGGGAGGCAGCAGUGGGGAAUAUUGCGCAAUGGGCGAAAGCCUGACGCAGCGACGCCGCGUGAGGGAUGAAGGUCUUCGGAUCGUAAACCUCUGUUAGUAGGGAAGAACGGUCACUGUGCUAAUCAGCAGUGAAUUGACGGUACCUGCAAAGGAAGCACCGGCUAACUCCGUGCCAGCAGCCGCGGUAAUACGGAGGGUGCGAGCGUUAAUCGGAAUGACUGGGCGUAAAGCGAUCGUAGGCGGGAUGUCAAGUCAAGGGUGAAAUCCCCGGGCUCAACGUUAGAACUGCAUUUGAAACUGGCAAACUAGAGUGUGGGAGAGGUUGGUGGAAUUCGUGGUGUAGGGGUGAAAUCCGUAGAGAUCAGGAAGAACAUCGAUGGCGAAGGCGACUUUCUGGCACAUAACUGACGCUGAGGAGCGAAAGCGUGGGUAGCAAACAGGAUUAGAUACCCUGGUAGUC
rnacentral:rRNA from 1 species